rnacentral:rRNA from 1 species
AGUAGUUGACUCCGUGGCUCGAGGACGACGCUGGCGGCGUGCUUAACACAUGCAAGUCGAGCGGUAAGACCCUUCGGGGUACACGAGCGGCGAACGGGUGAGUAACACGUGAGCAAUCUGCCCUCCACAUCGGGAUAACCCCGGAAACGGGAGCUAAUACCGGAUACGACCACUUCAGGCAUCUGAUGGUGGUGGAAAGUUCCGGCGGUGGAGGAUGAGCUCGCGGCCUAUCAGCUUGUUGGUGGGGUAACGGCCCACCAAGGCUUCGACGGGUAGCCGGCCUGAGAGGGUGACCGGCCACACUGGGACUGAGACACGGCCCAGACUCCUACGGGAGGCAGCAGUGGGGAAUAUUGGACAAUGGGCGAAAGUCUGAUCCAGCAACGCCGCGUGAGGGAUGACGGCCUUCGGGUUGUAAACCUCUUUCAGCGCAGACGAAGCGAAAGUGACGGUAUGCGCAGAAGAAGCACCGGCCAACUACGUG